rnacentral:rRNA from 1 species
CCUACGGGAGGCAGCAGUGAGGAAUAUUGGUCAAUGGCCGGAAGGCUGAACCAGCCAUGCCGCGUGAAGGUCAGUGCCCUAUGGGCGUUAAACUUCUUUUGUGCGGGAGCAAUAAUGGUCACGUGUGGCCAGACGAGAGUACCGUACGAAUAAGCAUCGGCUAACUCCGUGCCAGCAGCCGCGGUAAUACGGGGGAUGCAAGCGUUAUCCGGGUUUAUUGGGUUUAAAGGGUGCGUAGGCUGUGAGGUAAGUCAGCGGUGAAAUGCCCCCGCUCAAAGGGGUGAAGUGCCAUUGAUACUGCCUGGCUGGAAUGCGGAUGCCGUGGGAGGAAUGGGUGGUGUAGCGGUGAAAUGCAUAGAUAGCACACAGAACACCGAUUGCGAAGGCAUCUCACGAAUCCGCGAUUGACGCUGAUGCACGAAAGCGUGGGUAUCAAACAGGAUUAGAUACCCCUGUAGUC